GAUGAACGCUGGCGGCGUGCCUAAUACAUGCAAGUCGAGCGAACGGACGAGAAGCUUGCUUCUCUGAUGUUAGCGGCGGACGGGUGAGUAACACGUGGAUAACCUACCUAUAAGACUGGGAUAACUUCGGGAAACCGGCGCUAAUACCGGAUAAUAUUUUGACCCGCAUGGUUCAACAGUGAAAGACGGUCUUGCUGUCACUUAUAGAUGGUUCCGCGCUGCAUUAGCUAGUUGGUAAGGUAACGGUUUACCAAGGCAACGAUGCAUAGCCGACCUGAGAGGGUGAUCGGCCACACUAGAACUGAGACACGAUCCAGACUCCUACGGGAGGCAGCAGUAGGGAAUCUUCCGCAAUGGGCGAAAGCAUGACGGAGCAACGCCGCGUGAGUGAUGAAGGUCUUCGGAUCGUAAAACUCUAUUAUUAGGGAAGAACAUAUGUGUAAGUAACUGUGCACAUCUUGACGGUACCUAAUCAGAAAGCCACGGCUAACUACGUG
rnacentral:rRNA from 1 species